rnacentral:rRNA from 1 species
CGACCGGCGCACGGGUNAGUAACACGUAUGCAACCUGGCCGUCACAGGUGGAUAACCGGAAGAAAUUCCGACUAAUACAGCAUAACACUCCUGAGGGACAUCCUUCGGGAGUCAAAGGAGGCAACUCCGGUGACGGAUGGGCAUGCGGCGCAUUAGGUAGUUGGUAGGGUAACGGCCUACCAAGCCGACGAUGCGUAGGGGUUCUGAGAGGAAGGUCCCCCACAUUGGAACUGAGACACGGUCCAAACUCCUACGGAAGGCAGCAG